GCAGCGUGGAGGAAGGCGACCGAUAGAAACGCUUAGUCCUGGUGCCAGGCAGGCGACCACGGCCCGAGCACUGGACGUGACUCGAUGCACCUCGGUCACCGCGCCCGCUUCCCGCUUGGCCGCGCCCGCGGGCUCCGCAACCCCAGCUCCCCGAUUCCCCUUCACGACUCCCACUAGUACCGAAGCAGCCUCACCCGGCAAUAUCCGAGACCGCAGUAGGGUCUAGAAGCGGCGAUGGGUCCGAGGGACUGGGCCCUGAAGACGCGGGCGCAGCCUGACUGACGGCAGCUAGAGCAGCGGCGGCAACAGCACCAGCAGCGCGCGGCUCCUCCUGGCGCCGGAACAGGAAGCGCCGAGCGCACCGCCUCCGCCCGUUCUCCCCCUCCCCUCAGGCCGCGCCGCGUGCGCCUCCCGCAGGCCCCUGGCGGUACUGCGGCCCGCCAGGCCUAGGGGGAUGGGCUCCACCUGGCGCCGGCUCCGGGCCGCUUUCCCCUGGUGGGCGGGCUAAAAGCUCCCAGAGUUUCCGGAGUUCCGAGGACUCGGAGGAAACGCCAGUGGCUGCCGAUGUUCACGGCUUCCCGGCGGAAAUUGCUAACUUGUCUUGAGUUGCUUGAGGGCUGAUUCUGGAUUCCUUUUGCUCAGCGGUUUUUACAGCUAGGCCUCGAAGGAGGCUGGGUAUGGACGCGGUCUGAUUUCGGCCUGACCCGAGGACUCAGAUCCUCGGGCCAAAAGUGGGGAGAGGGAAAAUAUUAAUACAGGAAAGGGAAGACGUUUGCAAAUAGCUUGACAAAUUGAUAUUUGCUUUCUUUGUAGAUUUUUCCUCAUCAAUGCCUCUUCUCCCAUGUUCUUUUUUGUUGUUUUUGAGACAGGGCCUCUGUCACACACGCUGGAGUGCAGUGGCGCGAUCUCGGCUCACUGCAACCUCUGCCUGCUGGUCUCAAGCAAUCCUCCCAUCUUAGCCUCCGAGUAGCUGAGACUGCAGGCAUGUGCCACCACAUCCGGCUUAUUUUUGUGUUUUUGAUAGAGAUGGGGUCUCACCCUGCUAGCCUCAAGCGAUCUGCCCGCUUCGGCCUCCCAAAGAGCUGGUAUUACAGGUGUGAGCCACCGUGCCCAGCCGCCAUCUUCAUUUCUGAAUAAACAUUACCUCCUGUGUCAGGCACAGAUGACAUGACCCCAGUCAAGGAACCUACUAACUAGCAAUAAAGAUGUCGUGAUAAUUAUAUGGUGU
rnacentral:lncRNA from 10 species